rnacentral:snRNA from 1 species
GUGCUCGCUUUGGCAACACAUAUACUAAAAUUGGAAUGACAUAGAGAAGAUUAGCAUGGCCCAGCAAUUAAAAAAGAAAUACUGAACAAGUCUAU